UACAGAGGUCCCGAGCGUUGUUCGGAUUCACUGGGCGUAAAGGGUGCGUAGGUGGUGAGGUAAGUCGGAUGUGAAAUCUCCGAGCUCAACUCGGAAAUGGCAUUGGAAACUACCUUGGCUUGAGGGUUGGAGGGGGGACUGGAAUACUUGGUGUAGCAGUGAAAUGCGUAGAUAUCAAGUGGAACACCAGUGGCGAAGGCGAGUCCCUGGACAACUCCUGACACUGAGGCACGAAAGCUAGGGGAGCAAACAGG
rnacentral:rRNA from 1 species